rnacentral:rRNA from 1 species
GAUCUGGCUCAGGAUGAACGCUAGCUACAGGCUUAACACAUGCAAGUCGAGGGGCAGCAUGAACUUAGCUUGCUAAGUUUGAUGGCGACCGGCGCACGGGUGAGCAACACGUAUCCAACCUUCCGUUUACUCAGGGACAGCCUUUCGAAAGAAAGAUUAAUACCUGAUAGUAUGGUGAGAUUGCAUGAUAACACCAUUAAAGAUUUAUUGGUAAACGAUGGGGAUGCGUUCCAUUAGG